AAGUCGAGCGGGCCUUUCGGGGUCAGCGGCGGACGGGUGAGUAACGCGUGGGAACGUGCCCUCUGGUUCGGAAUAACUCAGGGAAACUUGAGCUAAUACCGGAUACGCCCUUUUGGGGAAAGGCUUGCUGCCGGAGGAUCGGCCCGCGUCUGAUUAGCUAGUUGGUGAGGUAACGGCUCACCAAGGCGACGAUCAGUAGCUGGUCUGAGAGGAUGAUCAGCCACACUGGGACUGAGACACGGCCCAGACUCCUACGGGAGGCAGCAGUGGGGAAUAUUGGACAAUGGGCGCAAGCCUGAUCCAGCCAUGCCGCGUGAGUGAUGAAGGCCUUAGGGUUGUAAAGCUCUUUUAUCCGGGACGAUAAUGACGGUACCGGAGGAAUAAGCCCCGGCUAACUUCGUGCCAGCAGCCGCGGUAAUACGAAGGGGGCUAGCGUUGCUCGGAAUCACUGGGCGUAAAGGGCGCGUAGGCGGCGUUUUAAGUCGGGGGUGAAAGCCUGUGGCUCAACCACAGAAUGGCCUUCGAUACUGGGACGCUUGAGUAUGGUAGAGGUUGGUGGAACUGCGAGUGUAGAGGUGAAAUUCGUAGAUAUUCGCAAGAACACCGGUGGCGAAGGCGGCCAACUG
rnacentral:rRNA from 1 species